rnacentral:rRNA from 1 species
CCAGACUCCUACGGGAGGCAGCAGUGGGGAAUAUUGCACAAUGGGCGAAAGCCUGAUGCAGCGACGCCGCGUGAGGGAUGACGGCCUUCGGGUUGUAAACCUCUUUCAGUAGGGAAGAAGCGAAAGUGACGGUACCUGCAGAAGAAGCGCCGGCUAACUACGUGCCAGCAGCCGCGGUAAUACGUAGGGCGCAAGCGUUAUCCGGAAUUAUUGGGCGUAAAGAGCUCGUAGGCGGUUUGUCGCGUCUGCCGUGAAAGUCCGGGGCUCAACUCCGGAUCUGCGGUGGGUACGGGCAGACUAGAGUGAUGUAGGGGAGACUGGAAUUCCUGGUGUAGCGGUGAAAUGCGCAGAUAUCAGGAGGAACACCGAUGGCGAAGGCAGGUCUCUGGGCAUUAACUGACGCUGAGGAGCGAAAGCAUGGGGAGCGAACAGGAUUAGAUACCCUGGUAGUCCAUGCCGUAAACGUUGGGCACUAGGUGUGGGGGACAUUCCACGUUUUCCGCGCCGUAGCUAACGCAUUAAGUGCCCCGCCUG